GGUCUUUUAGUAUAGUGGUUGUACAGCUACCCUUCAAGUAGCUAGCAUUAGUUCGAACCUGAUAAAGAUCA
rfam:Phlebia centrifuga strain FBCC195 PHLCENscaffold_2975, whole genome shotgun sequence.